rnacentral:ncRNA from 1 species
CCCGUUGUGCGACCAACGGUAGCCUACGAUGGCGUGCAUCACUGGUAACGGUGGUGUUCGAAGCCCAUCUGACAACGUAGCCCCUAUCUAGGGUGCAGCCCUUCCGCGAGGCAGGCUGUGGAUACUCGGAGCAGUGCCGGGUUGAGGCG